AGAAAAUGACAAAUGAAUACCGGAAAAAUAUAUAUAAAUUGUAUUAUUGAAUUGAUAAACAACAUAAUAUGGAAUUAUUAGCAUUGUUAUAGAAACGUAAUAGGGAUUAAAGGAUUGAGCGAAGGAUUCUUAGAGACCAAAGGAACAUAAUGGCUUUUCCCAAAAUAUCUGGUUCAGCAAAGAUGUCUUCAUAUCCGUGUUAAACGAAAUCUCGUCCAACUUAGGGAGAAUAGCACCGUCUGUUGUUGGAAUUUCGACUAUGUGUAAGCUCACAGGAAAUUGGCAGCGAUCUUCAUAUUGUUUGUCUCAACAGCCUAUGUCGACUUGCCUAAAUAAAGUAUGCAGAGGCAUUGAUAAAACUCUGUGGCCAAAACCCAUAACCUUUUAAAUGACUAUGCAAGACGAAAGGAAUGCGAAGAGAUUUCGUCACGUCCGGCCAGAUUGUUUACAGACAACGCCCUACUGUUGCGGACUGGCGACGUGGUGUCCUUGUGGUGAGAUUUUCCUCACAUACCGAAUCACCUUGAUCUACUGCAGCCGUCUCAGCCACAGACAUGCUGUUAUCCGGAGCACUAUCGAUGCAGUCAAACCUCUCAGAAUUACUGCUUUCAUUCGCCGCCUCAUCAAUGGACAACAGUUGCACUACUCUUUCCUCCAAUGGGGAAAAAUAUUGGAAGGUCGAUGGUCCGCCGCCCGUGCUAGAGAUGCUCCCCCAAAACCAUGAUUUUUUCAAUUCCUGGUUGAGGAAGGUUACUUCUUUAUUAUUUUUCCUUUAAAAUAAAUUUUGGCAGUUCAGAGGACCAAAAAUUCGAAAACGAAAUAGUUGGAAAUAUAGAAAUUCGAAAAUAGCUGAUUAGAGUACCGAAUGUGCGAAUUCUAAUAUAAUAUUGUCAGAAUCGCAAUAGAGCGUAUACCCCUUUAUUAUCGGUACGAGACGUCGCAGAAAAAGUGUCAAAAGUCCCCUACACAUGUACAAGAAGUACCAAAUCGCAAUGAUAAUCAACAUAUUUUAAUAGCUCAAUAAAUCCCCAAACAAAUUCUUGUUUUGCCAGUGCGACUUUAAAAGCGAACCGUUUAUUGGCUAUGGAGGUAUAAUCAAGAAAUUUAUGUAGAAACUAAGCUUUAUAAGGCCCUAGUACUCUUGUGCCCUGUUCUCGCGACAUGUCAUUACGGAAAACAAAGACUUUAAUAAGGACUCUAUGCAACCGCUUAUGAAGGAUGUUAAGUUAAAAUUGCGAUUGUUGGCAUAUAACAAAAACAAGUGACAAUUUUUUCUAAAUUUCUAUAAACAUAUUGUAUAUAUGAACUAUAUCUUGUAUAAUUAUUUUUAAAAUUUAAUAAUAAAUAUACGCUUAUAAUGCUAUUGAUACCACCAAUUAUUUUCAUGCACAUACUUUAAUAUAUGGGAGCUGGGGUUAUUUGAGAAUCGAUUUCAUUAAACUAUCAUACGUACCAGUGUUAUACGUUCACUUAAUUUGAUUGAUCCGUUUUUAUCAAUUUUUUGUACCACGACAUACUAUUGCCAGAAAAAGAUCUUCGUUGACUUUCGAUAAGAUACUUCAUAUAUUGACCAAUAUAUAAUAUA